rnacentral:rRNA from 1 species
CCACAUGUCCAAAACCCCUUGUUAAAGCCUGAUCCCGUAUGAUCUCAGAAGCUAAGGAGGGCCGGGCCUGGUUAGUACUUGGAUGGGAAUAUGUUCAGAAAAUCAGUGCCACAGUGGA